rnacentral:lncRNA from 12 species
ACAUAGUGAAUAAAGCAAGGAGUAAAUUAAUCAAUGGUUUAACAAAUAUUUUGUGCUUAAGGAUGCUGAACUGCUUGCUCCAAUGGCCAUUCGACUGUAAAAAUACUCCACUUUUGGCAUUUCUCUCUGGUGCCACUCAAAGCAUUUCUUCAAGAUUCUGCUGCAGGCCACAAAAGAUCUCACGCAGUUUCUUAAAAAGCUCAGAAGAAGCAGUAUGUGUCCUAUCCUCAGGUCAAACUCUCCAGCACAGAAGAUUGAGAGCGGAGCUAUUCCUAUCUCAGGGACUCAGAGGCCAAGGAGAGUAUUAUUUUGAUUUUCCGAAGUGAAGACACAACUGGACGUCCUAUAUAUUCCAAGUACUUAGAAUUUUUUUCUGUACAUUGCAAAUAUAUGAUUUAUUUAUUCUCCAAAUUCUCAUUGCAUUUAACAACUAUAUCAGAUCACUUUCUACCUUGCUGAAGAUUACUUCUUAAUAGAAUCUGUCCUAAAAGCAGAUGUAAUUUGAGUAUGAUUUUAAGAGAUCACAGGCAGGACUCCUUGUUCUUGAAUUUCUAUCAUAUUCUUUCAUUCCAUCAGUGUUGUUGUUUUAUUCUGGUGGUUCCAGGAGCUUUUUAAUCUUUCUGAGGCGUUUUUAUUAAUGCCAACACACACAGGAGUCUUACCUUCUGUUAUCACAUUAUCAAAGUCAACUGAAAGCAGUUUUAGAAUAAAAUAUGAAUAACCCAAUUUCUAUUGAUUAAA